rnacentral:rRNA from 1 species
AUUGAACGCUGGCGGCAUGCUUUACACAUGCAAGUCGAACGGUAACAGGCCUUCGGGUGCUGACGAGUGGCGAACGGGUGCGUAAUGCAUCGGAACGUGCCCAGAGGUGGGGGAUAACGCAGCGAAAGCUGUGCUAAUACCGCAUGUGAUCUGAGGAUGAAAGCGGGGGACCAGGCAGCAAUGUUUGGCCUCGCGCCUUUGGAGCGGCCGAUGUCAGAUUAGGUAGUUGGUGGGGUAAAGGCCUACCAAGCCGACGAUCUGUAGCUGGUCUGAGAGGACGACCAGCCACACUGGGACUGAGACACGGCCCAGACUCCUACGGGAGGCAGCAGUGGGGAAUUUUGGACAAUGGGCGCAAGCCUGAUCCAGCAAUGCCGCGUGCGGGAAGAAGGCCUUCGGGUUGUAAACCGCUUUUGUACGGAACGAAAAGGCUCUGGCUAAUACCUGGGGCUGAUGACGGUACCGUAAGAAUAAGCACCGGCUAACUACGUG